GCAGUACUUUGUGGGCAGUGGUGCUAAAGUUUGCUUGCUAACGUAACAUAAACUGGCUGGCAGACACCUCGCAAAUAACUUUGCUUAUCACCCCCUAGCGUUAUGGCGGUGAAAUGCACCGCGAUGCAAAGCAACCCCGACGCAGAACUCCGAAAGGGUCACGACGAAGGAGCGACGGCGUAGCUACAGCGUUUCAUCUGCAAGUCCAAAUCAGCUUGUGACACUUAUUUUAUUUGAAAACCUCCAGACAGUUUAUCAAUCUGAAGGUUGGAGCAGGCAGCUGCAGCUCCGCCCCCCAAAAAAAAAGACUGAUAGAGGACAGGACGCCUCCAUGCAUUCACCCACCUCCACCGCUGCUCAACACAUCGCCGACCAACCAGCUGACCUUCAGUCUCCAGAUUUGACUUCUUUUGAUCAGCUGGUUUGAUUGGCCGAGGCACGUGGAGCAACAGGUGUUUCAACAACUGAAGAAGAAGAAGAGGUAAAGGAAGGAACCAACAAAGGAGAGCACUGAAAGAGGUCACCUAAACAACAAACCCCACCUAGGAACUUCAGUACCUUCAGGAGGAUGUCUUCAUCUCAGAAAAGAUCUGGACACAAACCAUCUGGACUUAAACGUUUCUGUUUGUGGCUCCACCGCUGCUCCUCACCCUCUCCUCCCCCUCCUCUUCCUCUCCCUGUCAGUUGUGGCGUCCCCGACUCUCCCCCGGUGUCUUGUCGUCUCCCCCUGCUGGUUUUCCUGCUGCUCUGCAGUCUGCUGCUGAUGCUGCUGAUUCUGCUGUGGAAUUACCACUGUUUGUUCAUCUCCCACAUCUGCUCCCAACAGGGGGAGGAAGGGGAGGAGGGGGGACGGAGGGCCAUGGUCCCCUGGCGGUGACAGUGGCACCACCCACCUCCUGAAACCAGUCCUGCAGAAACCACAGAUAAAGAUGGUAUUUUGCUUCAUCUACAAACAUUUCUUAGUGGCACCAUAAACAAGAACUACAGGAUAUUAAAAGAGGUGAAAAUUGGGUUGUAUGGCCACAUCAAAAAAUGCAAUUUUUCUCAAGACUGCUCACUGCUGCAAUGUUAGUAUUUCACUUCUAUAGAGUAGUUGUUGUGAGAUUGAAAAGACUUUUAGCCCAAAAAUCUGGAUCCUACAUUUCCGAUGAUGCACCUGGACAGCGUCUUUUAGUAGAGCCUCAUAGACUGACGACAUCAUCAUGACAUCAUCGGAGUUAUCAGAGACAGUGUAAAAAUGUGUGCAAUUCUCCUUUAACAUUGUUAGAAUUUAC